UUAGAUUAAUUUAGUAAAUAUAUUGAUAGUUACGAUUCAAUGUCAAUAAUUUACUAACAAUUUCAACAAAGAACUUGAAUAUAAUCUACGUAAAUUUAUCCGCGCUUGUUUUCCACUACUCGCAAAAUUUUCCUACGCCCUGUAUCGCCAAUAGCUUUUAUUAUGACUCUAGUCUAAGCGUUUGUACUUCGUCAUUUAUUUAAUGCAAAUCAAGGUCGUGAACCCAUACUAUGUGGGUUUUUAUAUCGCAUUAACAUAGGUUCCGGUGCCCGAACUGAACGAUAGCUGAUCGUAAACUGGUUUCGGUGUAUUAGUACACCAAUGACGAAUCAUUCACUUGUUUCGUUACUUCGUUGUUUUGAUUUACAUGUUUUCGUGCUGCGUCAGAUGUAUCAGCGGUGAUAAUAACAGUCACAAUACGUUUUUUUCCUUAAUAAAACAAUCGCGCGAUACAACUUGAACGAUAUAAUGAUUAUUCGACGUUCAAAAACAAGGGGGAAAGUGAAGCGUUCAGUGCGGAGUCCAUCUCUCCCAUCACCCCUCUCGAGACGCCGGACCGGCGGUCGUCGGCGCCACGACCACCAGCCCUCUCGGUCGACAGGCUAUCCGGAGCCCGCCUAGAUGGCGCCGGUUAGAAUGGGUUAUCCUACGAGUUGAUGCUUACUUAGCUUAGAAGUUUUAGUACCAUCAAAGCGUGACAGUAUCAAUUUCACAUAACUUCCAAAUCAAUUUUUUUUUAUAAUUUUCGAAACCAAAUCAAAUUCCUUUCCGUGACUUGUUAGCAGGACCGAUCAAAGGUAUUCACAAAACACUGACCCACCACUAACAGAAGAACAGGAUAACUUGAUUAAAUAUACUAACUACCAUUAUUAAUUCAAUUAACACGCACCUAAAUUCCUCAGAGACAAUCAGUCGUCUUAUUUCAAAGUUCAUAACAACAAAUUCGAUAUUCAAAAUCACGAAUUAUCCCAGUGAAUAACCAGACAACGGAGCGAACGAAUCGAUUUGGAAAGCGCACGGCGUGCCCGCAGAUGCACGAGCCCGUCCCUGGCAGUCACGUCCAUAGACAAACGAGCAAACUAACACGAUUGAGAGAGCAUUUCGACUCCUAAACGAGUUCGUUCACACGGUACGAAGUUCACGGUCGAACUCCCGCCCGCUUACAAUGCUAAUGUAUGUACGCAAACGUGUGCGUAUGAAAAGCAAUACGAUAACAAGACACGGUUCGGUAGCCGUUACGUAUCGUUGACAGUUCUUAUCGACAGGUGUCCAGUUGGAAGUAUGAAGGCUCUAUACAGAACCUUAUUCAGAGCGGUGCGAGGAAUGCGAUAAUUGAAAGGACUGGUUAUUAAAAUAAAUCGUUGUACCUACAUAAUUUUUUUUUUAGUCGGUAUUGUUAUUCGUUCGUCUAUGAAAUCGUAAAUUUGAUACGUCAUGAAAUAUUUAAAAAUGGAAUUUAAGAUUAGAACCAUUGAAAAUUGAAUCAAAAUAAAACCUUAGCCGAAUUAACGAAAGAAUAAAAAAAAAACCUUUCGAAACUUAAA